UAAAUAUGGUUUUAUUGGUUAAUAUCAUCUAUGUUCAAGCAAGAAAAAAAACUAUUUAGCGGUUUUGUUCGUGGUAAUUCUUCAGCAUUUUUUGUUUUGUCGGACGUCUUCCCAAGUCAGCCAGCAGCUAACACAAUGGCGGCGUGGACGGAGGAAGUUUCAAGGACCAACAACACAUCUCGGUAUGACAAGCUAAGACUCGACUAUACAAACUGAUGAAACACCUCUGACCUGUGGGACACACUUGUAUGUGAUGCCAUCAACAGCAACUGAUGAAACACCUCUGACCUGUGGGAGGUACUUUCUCCAUCACUGUUUAAAGUGGAUCUGAAUUGAGCUGGACCUGAUGUGAACUAGACUAAAGUGGGCUGGACGUGCAAGUGAAUGAGAUCUGAAGUUAACUGGACCUAAAGGACUAGAUGGUUGGAGGAAGGCAUAAGGUCGAGCAUGACCCAACACACACACAACCAUUGCUGGUGUUGGCUGGGCAGAAGCCGUCACUUGUGCACCAAGAUGUCUUCACGUUUUAGCUCUGGUCUAUAGUCUCAAAUGUAAAGUAUGUUGAAUAUUUCUCCUAAGUUAAGAUGCAAGGUUGUAUCUGAUUGUGUGAUUCAAGGUGAUGGAAUCUCAAAGGUAUGUUGAAUAUUUCUUAUAAAUUAAGAUGUAAAAAUGUAUCUGAUUGGUGACAUAAGAUACAACAUAGGUCAAGGAUGAGUUGUCCUAAUUUAUUUAGUAUGGAUCAGGAAGCUAAUUCUAGGACUGUAGUUAGCCUGAUUAAAACUCGGGCCUUCGUUGAUGAGCGGCAACAAUUUGACAGUGAUUACAUGAGAUCAUCGGAAUCGUCUUAGUGAUGUGAAAGUGUAAACCGAUAAAGGAUUUUUUAAUGCUAGAUGCGAUUGUAUUUUUUAAAACUCAAUCUCCACUGAGUUGGAGGUACAGCCCAGGUCAAGAGGCCUACAACCACAAAAUCUUUGUCAUAAGACAAAUUUUUUUUUUAAUGGAGUUGUGGUCAUUGCUGUGAUUGGCCACCCAAAGGCCUGAUUUACCUUCUUUUCGCAAUGGCCCGAGAACUUCAGCUCAUUGUCAACAUACACACCUAGGUCCUUCUCACAUUCAGUCUCAAAUAGU